AGUGAACGCUGGCGGUAGGCCUAACACAUGCAAGUCGAACGGCAGCACAGUAAGAGCUUGCUCUUACGGGUGGCGAGUGGCGGACGGGUGAGGAAUACAUCGGAAUCUACUUUUUCGUGGGGGAUAACGUAGGGAAACUUACGCUAAUACCGCAUACGACCUACGGGUGAAAGCAGUGGAUCUUCGGACCUUGCGCGAUUGAAUGAGCCGAUGUCGGAUUAACUAGUUGGCGGGGUAAAGGCCCACCAAGGCGACGAUCCGUAGCUGGUCUGAGAGGAUGAUCAGCCACACUGGAACUGAGACACGGUCCAGACUCCUACGGGAGGCAGCAGUGGGGAAUAUUGGACAAAGGGCGCAAGCCUGAUCCAGCCAUACCGCGUGGGUGAAGAAGGCCUUCGGGUUGUAAAGCCCUUUUGUUGGGAAAGAAAAGCAGCAGGUUAAUACCCCGCUGUUCUGACGGUACCCAAAGAAUAAGCACCGGCUAACUUCGUG
rnacentral:rRNA from 1 species